UGCGAGUGGUGCCACUCGCAACGCCGGCUCUAUAUUGUGCGCAAAAAUUUGUAGAGGGGAAAUAGGCUGGCCGAGUGUUGACGCUGCUUACUUUGCAGAAAUCGUUUGUCUGGGACUCCCUAUUUGACCCACCUCUGAAAUCUAGCCCAAGUUUAUUUUAUUUGAACUAGGUACAUGGCAGGAGAUCAAGACUUCUAAAACAUUUGCUAUCCUUGUUACCGGAUUACGAGCAAAAGAAAACAAAAAAGGAUUUAUAGGACAAACUUCAAUUCAACCAAAGAAGCAAGGAGAAGCCUUAUUUUAACGGUGAAGCGUUUUUUCAGGUAUGGAUUAGGCAAAGCAGCUAUCAGAUAAAUAGUUUCUUCAAAUAAGUCAUAUAAGAAUAUCUUUUUUAUAUAAAAAAACAGAGUUGCUUUUUUUUUUGUUGUAUUCCUUGGCGAAAGUGGUCCUUCCACCUAUAACUAGCUUCGAAUCGACUAGGAAUUAAAAGCAUUAAUGCUAGUAGAAGAAGUCGACGGCCUUGUCUGCAACUGUGGAAUCAAAGGUCAAUACUCUCCACAAAUGUUUUUCUUUUUUUAAUCUGUGAUCAUCGUACGAUGUGGAUUGAUGAUGCUGCCCUUUUCUCCUUUGAGACAUCAGCAAAUGGGGGUGUUUUACUUUUGCGUUCAAAAAUUUCAUCCAUCGAUUUGGAUUGUGGCUGUAAAGUGUAACCCCCGGCAGUAAGGAUUAGGGGGUCCCAAAUAUAUGAGAAGAAUAUACCGACGUCUAUUGCAAACCAAUCUGUAUCCGCCACAUCAUCAUGCACAAUCUACAAUUAUAUCAAAAAGAAAUCUCAAUGCGAUAGGAGACGACCAAAUCUCCAAAUCAUUGACAUCCUGUUGGCAAUGCAACGAGGGAAUCCUUAGUAACGCUGACAACUCCGGGCUGGUGCAGUCUUCGAGCCUUGGCAUGGUUUGCUAAAACAUCUACGCAUAGUUAUGAUACCCAGCUAAUAAAGGUAACUAAAGAGGGGAUUCUAGAUCUAAAAGCAUGCACUUGGAGCUGAAUUGAUGCAGGCAUGACCAGAAACAAUUUCCUUUCUACAGACAUGGAAAAUGACAUUACUCAACAAGUCGCUAGCAUCAAAAGAAUCUUACGUGCGCACUUCCAAGAUUAGGGCUAGCUACCGUCUUCUUGCGCUGUAUGGAGAAACUAAACAAGCAGCAAUAUGUACGAGACAUUGCUGAGGGAGAUGACAUGCACGCAUCAUAUCAUAUAUAACUACAAAUCGACUACAGCUUAUAAAUGGCAAUUCAUGACUGUCAAUUAACAACAUAUUUUGUGCACUGGAUUUUGAAUGGUGCAUACAUACCAAGACUAUAAAAUAGUAGCGCUAGUAAUGUCCUGUCAGCGAGUCAUUUUAUGUGUAUCUUUUGUCGUGUAACAGCUAGCCGUGUUGCGGCAAAUCAAUAGUUACAAAUUACUAAGCAUAUAUAGAAGACGACAAAAGUUCAUAUAUACAAGGGUCAAGGCCCAUAAUAAUAUUAAUAGGGAAAUUCAUUGGAUAUGAAA